AGAGCGAACGCUGGCGGCAGGCCUAAUACAUGCAAGUCGAACGGAUCCUUCGGGAUUAGUGGCGGACGGGUGAGUAACACGUGGGAACGUACCCUUUGGUUCGGAACAACUCAGGGAAACUUGAGCUAAUACCGAAUGUGCCCUUCGGGGAAAAGAUUUAUCGCCAUUGGAGCGGCCCGCGUCUGAUUAGCUAGUUGGUAGGGUAAAGGCCUACCAAGGCUACGAUCAGUAGCUGGUCUGAGAGGAUGAUCAGCCACACUGGGACUGAGACACGGCCCAGACUCCUACGGGAGGCAGCAGUGGGGAAUCUUGCGCAAUGCGCGAAAGCGUGACGCAGCAACGCCGCGUGGGGAAGAAGGCUUCGGGUUGUAAACCCUUUCAGUUGGGACGAAGCUUCUUCGGUGAAUAGCCGAACGGAGUGACGGUACCUUCACAGAAGCACCGGCUAACUACGUGCCAGCAGCCGC
rnacentral:rRNA from 1 species